GAUGAACGCUGGCGGCGUGCCUAAUACAUGCAAGUCGAGCGAACAGACGAGGAGCUUGCUCCUUCGACGUUAGCGGCGGACGGGUGAGUAACACGUAGGUAACCUACCUAUAGGACUGGGAUAACUUCGGGAAACCGGAGCUAAUACCGGAUAAUAUUUCGAACCGCAUGGUUCGAUAGUGAAAGAUGGCUUUGCUCUCACUUAUAGAUGGACCUGCGCCGUAUUAGCUAGUUGGUAAGGUAACGGCUUACCAAGGCAACGAUACGUAGCCGACCUGAGAGGGGGAGCGGCCAAAAUGGAAAUGAGACAAGGGCCAGACGCAGAAGGGAGGCAGCAGUAGGGAAUAUUCAGGAAGGGGCGAAAGCCUGAAGGAGCAACGACGCGUGAGUGAUGAAGGUCUUCGGAGAGUAAAAAGCGGUGAGUAGGGAAGAACAAACGGGUAAGGAACUGUGCACGUCUUGAAGGGACCUAAUCAGAAAGCAAAGGCGAAAUACGU
rnacentral:rRNA from 1 species